rnacentral:snoRNA from 1 species
GAUCUCCUAGUGUUUAACACAGGAUAUGUUCUUACACUGACUGUAUACAAAGAGGAGACAAAGUAAACUUACCCCAAACAUACCUCAGUCCAGGCCCUGUGCCUGGUCUGUAUUGUGAAUGGGGAGACAUGG